UUUUCCCUAUAUUUGGGUGGAUUAUUUUAUCUUUAUUUUUCAUGAGAGUAUUCCCCGAUAUAUAUCCACAUAUAAUUGAAUUAAUUGAUGAUAUAUCUGUGAGAUUAUUCAAUAUAUAUGAUUCAAUCCAACACCAUUUCAAUCCAAAUAAUGUUGAAGUAGAAUCAAGCCCUCAAGCAAUUAACAGUAACUCAGUGGAGCAAGAAGACAGCGGUGGCGAGCCAACGGAGCAAGAGGAUGUAGGGGUUUGAUGCUGUCACGUGUGUGAUAGCUGCUGAGCACGAUCUCAAAGCAAAUGGGCCGAGUUGGGCUUCUUGUAUUAUGAGCCCAAGCAUCACGAGUUCAGUCCAAUAAUUGUUUUAAGUUGGUUGGUCCAGUCAUUAUGAUAAGUUCAAUUGUCGAGUCGGUUCAAGAGUCCAAUCAAUUAUUUAGCACACGAUUGAGUUGAAGAUUUAGUUCAGUGGCGAAUUAUCCGGUCUUGAGAAACUGUCUUCAGUAUUAUUGAGUGCGUGGGUCUAUUUUAACAGACACUAGUUCCAUUAUUUAUAGCAAGUAAUUGUUAUAAUGGCCCGGUUGUUCUGUUAAUCUUUAUUGUAUUUAUUCUCCAGUACUGGUAAUGAAAGGGCAAAGUUCAGUUGCAGAAGACUUGUGUUGGAGGCCUUGGUUUCCUCGAAUUCACCUUAUCUCUCAUAUUUUAUUUUACUUUCAUUGACAACAGAUGCCUUAUUCUAUAUUAAUGCAAGGCGCCCCCAAUUAAGAACUCCACCAGUGACCAAGCCAUAAGCCACAACAAACAAGAAGGAAGAUGAUGAGGAUAAUUGGGAUCUGCCUGAAGAGGGAGACAUCCCCUAUUAACUGCAUUCAACGUGCCUUCAAUUUAGAAAACUCUUCACCUUUUGAGUGCAAGAAUCUCUUGGUCCAUGUAAAUGGCAUGAAGUGAAUCAUGUUCUUUGACAGAAUGCAUUAUCCCUUUUGUAUUGUUGUUUAUGUAUGAAGAUUUUGAUUUUUGCGUCCAUCUGAACGCACUUUAUGUUAGCUAUUUAUCUAUCAGCUA